rnacentral:rRNA from 1 species
UACGGAGGGGGCUAGCGUUGUUCGGAAUUACUGGGCGUAAAGCGUACGUAGGCGGCUUUGUAAGUUAGAGGUGAAAGCCCAGAGCUCAACUCUGGAAUUGCCUUUAAGACUGCAUCGCUUGAAUCGUGGAGAGGUUAGUGGAAUUCCGAGUGUAGAGGUGAAAUUCGUAGAUAUUCGGAAGAACACCAGUGGUGAAGGCGACUAACUGGACACGUAUUGACGCUGAGGUACGAAAGCGUGGGGAGCAAACAGG